rnacentral:rRNA from 1 species
UGGGGAAUAUUGCACAAUGGGCGCAAGCCUGAUGCAGCCAUGCCGCGUGUAUGAAGAAGGCCCUAGGGUUGUAAAGUACCUUCAGUCGGGAGGAAGGCGUUGAUGCUAAUAUCAUCAACGAUUGACGUUACCGACAGAAGAAGCACCGGCUAACUCCGUG